rnacentral:misc_RNA from 1 species
GAAAUGCGAUAAGUAAUGCGAAUUGCAGAAUUUCCGUGAGUCAUCGAAUCUUUGAACGCACAUUGCGCCCGCCAGUAUUCUGGCGGGCAUGCCUGUCCGAGCGUCAUUUCAACCAUCAAGCCCCCGGGCUUGUGUUGGGGACCUGCGGCUGCCCGCAGGCCCUGAAAACCAGUGGCGGGCUCGCUGUCACACCGAGCGUAGUAGCAAUCACCUCGCUCAGGGCGUGCUGCGGGUUCCGGCCGUUAAACAGCCUUACAGAACCCAAGGUUGACCUCGGAUCAGGUAGGAAGACCCGCUGAACUUAAGC